rnacentral:rRNA from 1 species
CAACCUGCCGACAACACUGGGAUAGCCUUUCGAAAGAAAGAUUAAUACCGGAUGGCAUAGUUUUCCCGCAUGGGAUAAUUAUUAAAGAAUUUCGGUUGUCGAUGGGGAUGCGUUCCAUUAGGCAGUUGGCGGGGUAACGGCCCACCAAACCAACGAUGGAUAGGGGUUCUGAGAGGAAGGUCCCCCACAUUGGAACUGAGACACGGUCCAAACUCCUACGGGAGGCAGCAGUGAGGAAUAUUGGUCAAUGGACGAGAGUCUGAACCAGCCAAGUAGCGUGAAGGAUGACUGCCCUAUGGGUUGUAAACUUCUUUCAUACGGGAAUAAAGUGAGCCACGUGUGGCUUUUUGUAUGUACCGUAUGAAUAAGGAUCGGCUAACUCCGUGCCAGCAGCCGCGGUAAUACGGAGGAUCCGAGCGUUAUCCGGAUUUAUUGGGUUUAAAGGGAGCGUAGGCGGGUUGUUAAGUCAGUUGUGAAAGUUUGCGGCUCAACCGUAAAAUUGCAGUUGAUACUGGCGACCUUGAGUGCAACAGAGGUAGGCGGAAUUCGUGGUGUAGCGGUGAAAUGCUUAGAUAUCACGAAGAACUCCGAUUG